AUUGAACGCUGCGGCAGGCCUAACACAUGCAAGUCGAGCGGCAGCGGGAAAGUAGCUUGCUACUUUUGCCGGCGAGCGGCGGACGGGUGAGUAAUGCCUGGGGAUCUGCCCAGUCGAGGGGGAUAACUAAUGGAAACGGUAGCUAAUACCGCAUACGCCCUACGGGGAAAAGCAGGGGACCUUCGGGCCUUGUGCGAUUGGAUGAACCCAGGUGGGAUUAGCUAGUUGGUGAGGUAAUGGCUCACCAAGGCGACGAUCCCUAGCUGGUCUGAGAGGAUGAGCAGCCACACUGGAACUGAAGCACGGUCCAGACUCCUACGGGAGGCAGCAGUGGGGAAUAUUGCACAAUGGGGGAAACCCUGAUGCAGCCAUGCCGCGUGUGUGAAGAAGGCCUUCGGGUUGUAAAGCACUUUCAGCGAGGAGGAAAGGUUGGUAGCUAAUAACUGCCAGCUAUGACGUUACUCGCAGAAGAAGCACCGGCUAACUCCGUGCCAGCCGCCGCAGUAAUAC
rnacentral:rRNA from 1 species